GAUGAACGCUGGCGGCGUGCUUAAUACAUGCAAGUCGAGCGAACAGACGAGGAGUUUGCUGUUCUGACGUUAGGGGCGGACGGGUGAGUAACACGUGAAUAACCUACCUAUAUGACUGGGAUAAUUUAGGGAAACCGGAGCUAAUACCGGAUGAUAUAUUGAACCGCAUGGUUGAAUGGAGAAAGACGGGUUUUCGGUCACUUAUAGAUGGAUCCGCGCUGCAUUAGCUGGUUGGUAAGGCAACGGCGUAGCAAGGCAACGAUGCGUAGCCGACCUGAGAGGCGGGUCGCCCACCUUGGAGCUGGGCCACGGUCCCGACGCCUGCGAGAGGCCGCAGUAGCCAACCGUCCGCAGUGGGCGAGAACAUUACGCAGCAGCGCCACGCCAGUGAUGACAGUCUUCGGAUCGUAAUACUCUCUUUUUAGUGAAAAACAACUGUGUACGUAACUGUACCCGUCUUGACGGUACCUGAUCAGAAAGCCCCGGCUAACUACGUG
rnacentral:rRNA from 1 species